CUUCCCUCCCCUCUUCUCUAUCAACAAGAUUAAAAAAAGAAAAGAAAUCUCGUUCUCAUCUCUGAUGAUUAGGGUUCAAUCACUCUAGUUUCUAAUAACGUAUGAAGUCUCAAAUCAAUAAUCUCUCCGAGAUUAAGGUCGAACGAUUUGCUGAUUUCAGAGAUCUCAAAUCCCAAAUCAAGCCCUAAUCUCAAAUCUCAAAAAAUUUCAUUCCUUGGAGUUUGAAUCAAUUGAUGAAAUUUUUGGAUUCCCUGUUAAAUCUUGCAUAUCUUAACUGUCUCAAGGAUAAAUACACGGUAAUAAUGGGAUAUUGGGUUUGGAAGGUAAUGUUUUGAAGAUGAAGAGAUGGUGAGAGUUGGUUCUUGUUAGCAUUGAUUUAGUUUGUAGAUUGCAGACAUGGGUUUUGUUUGAUUCAUGGACUACAUGAAGUUGGAAGAUGUUGAUGGCUGGUAUAGAGAUUCUUACAGUAAGGAAGUCUUACUAAGAGCAGUGGUGUAGUUAGACCUCAGUUUGAAUCUAACCUUCUUCCUAAAGUCAUGGUAAUCAAUAUUGAAACUCCCUGAAGAACAACGUGACCCAGAUGAUUAUAAAGCAAGAUGCAGGAGAUAUGUGGGAAUGGUAAAAGAGCUUCUACAAACUCUGCCGUAUAGGAAGAGACCCGUAUGGACAGGGAUGCAAUCGCGGAGGUGGGUGCAUAUGAAUUUCAUAUUGUUAACCUUUUAGUUACUAACCCAUUUUGUUUACAUGUUCAUAGGUGUUUGGGCGUGAUCGUGGGGGAUUCGUCCGGGGUAUGGAACACCCAGCAUCUCUGAUUCCACUUCAGAAUUGCAUCCACGCUUUGGGCUAUUUGCAGCAUGCAAUUAGCCAAUUAUAGGUCCUUCGUGGUGUGGAUGGCGCUGGAUUUUGUAAAGAGGCUUUUGAACAAGGACCAGAGGAAAAGAAUGAUUGUUGCGCAGGCUUUGAGGAAACAUUUUUGACAAACUGGAAGCAUCAUAUAGCUUAAACGCCUUGACAGUAUUCUCCUUCGAGUUCGUAUCAUGUUUCUUUCUGACGAUUCAGAAACACCAAAAGUCAAAUAACAACAUCUUUUACAGAUAGGAUGAACUGAGACGCAUUAGAGAAGAGAUUAUUGUUGCUUGGGGUGAUAAGGAUGAGCUGAGACGCAUCAGAUGUUGCUGCUAUAAACCAAUAGUUAAUUGACAAGCCUUACGCUUGCUGCUUAUGAAGUGACCAAGGUCCAAGACUGAACGAGGAAGUACUUAAUGUUCACCGGUGUAUGUCAUCUUUUUUUUUUGUUGUUGUUACUUGUCAUUCUUUUUCAGAGGUAUACUGAAUAACUCUUUAGUGUAAGAUUUCAUGAAUUUCCGAAGUUCAAUUAUAGUUUUUAGAAUUUAAUGUA